CUACGGGUCGCUGCAGUGGGGAAUAUUGCACAAUGGGCGCAAGCCUGAUGCAGCAACGCCGCGUGAGGGACGAAGGCCUUCGGGUUGUAAACCUCUUUUAGCAGGGAAGAAGCGAAAGUGACGGUACCUGCAGAAAAAGCACCGGCUAACUACGUGCCAGCAGCCGCGGUAAUACGUAGGGUGCAAGCGUUGUCCGGAAUUAUUGGGCGUAAAGAGCUCGUAGGCGGUUUGUCACGUCUGCUGUGAAAUUUCGAGGCUCAACCUCGAACUUGCAGUGGGUACGGGCAGGCUAGAGUGCGGUAGGGGAGAUGGGAAUUCCUGGUGUAGCGGUGGAAUGCGCAGAUAUCAGGAGGAACACCAAUGGCGAAGGCACAUCUCUGGGCCGUAACUGACGCUGAGGAGCGAAAGCGUGGGGAGCGAACAGGAUUAGAUACCCGCGUAGUC
rnacentral:rRNA from 1 species